rnacentral:lncRNA from 9 species
CAGGAGAGGUUCUGCAGUAUAAGUUGUGUACAGAGCCCGGAGAAGCUCUGUGGCCCAGUAUUCUGGCUUCAUCUCCUGCUGCUCUAGGCCUUCUAGAAUGCCAUUUCCUAACUAACUGUUCGUUUCACAACCUGGUCCUCUCCCUAUAGGUGCUCUUCUCUCUUCUUGAAAGCCUUUUCCGUACCUUAUGUGCCUGGUGAGGUCCCAAUUUCAAAAUCUUCUUGAAGUCUGCCACUGCCUACGCUCCACCCAAAUAAUUGUUUUCUAUAUUCUUCUGUUAUCUCGCUAUGAAUAAUUACAGUGAUUUUCAUUAUUCACAGUGAUUAUGGUCCAUAAAAUCACACAGAACACUAAAUUAGCAAAUACUGAACAGUUGCUCCUAGGGAAAAUAGGUAUGUUUCUCAUAUACAUUUUAAUCUUAAAUUUUAAAUUCAACUCAUCCUGGUAAAUUCUAUUUUCUUUAUUUAACAAAAAAGAAAAUGAGAUUCAGAAGUGUUAAGCGACGUGCCUGAGGCCAACCAACCCCGUAACAGGUUCCAGUUAGAAUUCAAAUCCUGUCUUACUGGCCCUUGAGCCAGAGCUUCUUGCACUACACUGCACUGCCCUCUCCUGGCUGUGCCCUGAAUUAUCUCUAUGAGUGCUUAAAUGAGCAGAGCAGUGCCUAGUUCAAACUUCUUGGAUGGGAACCAUGCGCUAAGGGGUGACUCAGAAUUUUUCCCACUCUGUGCAUGUCCGUGAAUGACUAUGGAAGCACCGUCAGUAUUCAUUUGGUGGUUACAAAUAAAUUUUGGCAAGCAGGCAAAUUUCCAAAUACAGGAUCCACAAAUAAUGAGGAUCAACUGUAUUUGUGAAUGAGCCCUGGAGUCUGUUUCAUGGUAACCCGUCCCUGCAAUCAACAGUGGAAUGUGCUGUUUUAUCCAACAGAUAUUCAUUAAGCACUUACUAUAAGCCAGGCCGUUUUAGGCUGUGGUGACCAAACUGGAAAUUAAGCUGCUGUCCUUAUGCAUGUUAAAUUUGAAUAAGCCAGCUAAAAGCCUGGAGCUCAGGGGAGAGAUCUAGUUUGUAAUUAGAGGGUAACUUGACCAACGUGACUUGACCAACCUUGUGUGGUCCUUCCCACUUCAUAUUCCUUAGCAUGUUGAUUUCCAGAACAUUUCAGUUUUGCUCUUUGCAUAAACCCUCUCUUUUGAGCAACUCUUUACUUGUCACUAGUUUAUUUUGAGGCUGUUUACCCAUAAAACUGGCAGGAUAUUGUAGAAGAAACAGGCUAAUGUGGUCUUUGAUUUCUGCCUUUGCCACCUCCCAACUGAGUGACUUUGGUCACACUGUUGAACUUUUUAAACCUGUUUCCUGAUGUCAGAAGUAGUAAUAUGAUGUUCUAGCCCCUGUGGAUUGCAAGGGAGAGGCACACACAUAUUACCUUUGAUGACAAGGAUUUAAUAAUCUGCUGUAUAGCACAGAGAACUCUACCCACUAGUCUAUGAUAAUCUGUGUGGGAAAAGAAUCUGAAAGAGAAUGGAUGUCUUUGUGUUUCCUAGGAGAGAGCAUCUGAUUGGAUUGGUUUGCCACCUUCUAAAAUGGAGGACCCCUAUUGAGCAGAAUUUUUAACCAAAGCCGUAUCCUAGGUGAUCUCCCUCAAGUUCAGCCCUUAAUUAGGGCUCUGAGUCUGGUCCAGGAGUUUGUGGCCAAAGAAGUAGGAUUAGUUUCAUGUAUUAUAUGUGGCAAAGACUGUAGCAUAUAUAAAAAGAACCCCUUGGAGAGAGAUUCUUCCAAAAGCAACCAAGGAUAGAGCAGUCCUUAGGAUGCCAAUUCAAUAACCUAUCUGAUACGCUCAUAGACAAUGUUUAAUAAAGCACCUAACAAAGUAAUUGACACAUGUCAAAUAUUGCAUAGAGCUCCCUUUUGAUGUUGCCGUUAACAUUAUAGUGUGAUUGUUUGUUCAUGUGGCUGUCUUCCUUCCUAGACUAUGAGCUCCAUGAGGGAGAGUCAACAUCUUCAUCCUUCUAACCUUGGCAUUGAGUGCAGUGCCUGAUACAUUGUAAUAAAUAUACACAUGUCUGAAUUGAAGCAUUCCCUAACUUGUCCUGAAAGGGUAGAAUAAUGUGAAAGCUUUUCAGAGAAGGUAUAGUUUAAACUGGUUCUUAAAGAAUGAGUAGAAUGUUUUCCAGGUGAAUAAAACCUUGUGGCAGCAUUCCAAAUAGGGACCAGCAGGUGCAAAAGAACAGAGAUAGAAGAAGAUAACCAUGACCAGUAACAGAUGCAAAUUUUAGGGAGAAAGUGUAAUACUCUCAAGGUGUUAGCAGGGUAUCAAUAAUAAAUAGAGUUUAGAAAUACAAGUAUUGACUUUUGGGAACCAUUACACUGUAGUGAAAUUAUUUACUUCAUCAUGAAGCUCACGUGUAUCUUGUACUGUUCAAGGUGCUAAAAAUGUAAUGAAACUUAUUCUCAGAAGGCUCACAAGCUCACAAGUAGAUGGAGGAACUGGUUUGUCAUGUAAGGUAAUAAAGAUAUGAAAAAAAAAAAGCUGUCUAAACCAGGAGAAAGGAGUAUUUAGUAAUAUGGAGCAAUGGAGGAGAUUACUCAAAUGAGGUGGUGUUUGAGCUAGGCCUUGGUAGGUAAAGAAGUAGGAGUUCACUAGACCGAAAGUAAGGAUUUAUGGGGACUAUUUGUGGUAGGAGAGAUUUAAGAAUUAUCCAGUUUGCCAUUUCUGUUUUGGGCACUCAGUUAAUAGUUUUGUUUAUUCAAGCAGUUUCUCUGAGCAUAUGAAUGUGAAUAGUUAUGCUACAGUAGAACUUUGUGUCAAAAUAAACUGGGUUAAACAAAGGUUUCUGAAAUGCAGGUCUUCUCAAGAGCCUUUAUUAUGUUAAUAUCCUUUGUCAAUUGUGGCUCUCCAAAAGGACUACAUUAUAUUUAACUAUGGCUUCUCCUCCUUCUCCCUUUGCAACAUACCUAAACAUCUUUUGAAACAAAAUUACAUAAGAUACAGUUUGAGGAGUUCCCUGGUGGCUCAGUGGGUACAGGAUCCAGCAUUGUCACUGCUGUGGCUCAAAUCAUUGCUGUGGUGCAAGUUUGAUCCCUUCUCUACAAAAUUCUUCAUGCUGCAGGCAAGGCCAAGACAAACAAAAAGACAUAGUUUGAGAGAUGAUGAAUUAAAACAUAUUUUUAUCAAGCCAAAAUUUAUCAGUAGUCUCCAGGUACAUUGUAAAAUAAUGUAUAAUUGCAUAAUCUUAGAGCAAAGAAGAAAGGACAUUUGGAGAGAAAAAAUACGUUCUAGCCAAGUUAUUAUCAUCUUGGUCAUUAAAUCCCAAACUUAUAAAAAUUCUUAUAUGAUCACACUCUCCCUUGAAAACUAUGGCUUAUUCAUAUUUUGAAAUUCUGUAAGGUGAUCAGAGACACCCUGCGGUGUGGCAGAAACAGAGCAGGAGUGAACAGUGGUGACCAAGGCAAAGGUCAUCUUGGAAGUGAGACUCUUCCAACCUGAGAGGAUGCUACUUUUAUUAUGCAUUCAUUUUAGGCCAUAUUAGGCAUAUAUUUCGCUGUUGGGUAUUUUAUUUAAGAGCAUAACAGAAAUCCACACCCUCUUCUGACUUUGGAAUUGUGCGUUCUCUUUUCAAUAAGAGAAAAUAAUGACUGAGGCCUUACUGUGUAAUUUUAAUUAUCUGUCAAAUUCUGAUUGUGUGAUUAAAUUCCUAGGCAUUGUUAAAAUUAAAGAAGCAAUGGUCAUGCUUUUGACAGUUCACUGAAUUUGAAGUGAGAAGAUCUACAUUUGAAAUUCAUCUUGGCCAGCUUUCUAUUUGGAUGACCUUGGACACAACUGCCUAACCAUCUCUAGCCUCCUUUUCCAGUACUUCUUCCUUUUCCAUUUUAACCAAAUGCAAAUACAUAGGGUUAGUGUAAGAAUUAAAUGAUGCUUAUAAGCAUGCUUUAUGAGCUCUGAAGCACUGUACAAAUAAAAGGCUGAAGGAAUAUGCUGAGGCUGAGCUUAAUUUGAAUUAACAUUUUACUUUUAGUUUUUAAUUUUAUAUUAUAGAAAUAGUGCAUAUGUACCAUUAUAAAAUUAGAAAGCAUAGAUAGGCAAGGGAGGGGGCUACAAAGAACUUCCUACAUCUGCCAUAGUGAGACAGUGGUUACCAUUUUGAUGGAUAUAUAUAGUUUCUAUGCAUAUUUGUGUAUGUAUAUGUGUAUGCAUUGUGUAAUAGAAAUGGGCUCAUCUUGGUUGGUUUGUUUAGUCACUUUAUUUUUGUAAGUCCCCUAAGAGUACAUUUACUUGAUUCAAGGAAUUAUUCCAUCUUUUGCUACAUAUUUCUUGUAUAUAAUGAGAACUAUAAUGAGAAAGAGCUAACUUCUCAGCCUGGUGAACGUGUGACCUUGUGGUAAUCUAAUAUCCUAAACCAUUUCCAAAGCUUCAUGAAUGGCACAUUCAGAAAUGGACUUGAUGUGGGUAUGUGGCUAUGAUUGGCAUUGUUGGUAAUAGCUUAAGGAUGACUCCAGUGUGUCCGUGAGGAGCUCGUUAACCAUGGUAUAUCCAACCCAUGGAAUAUUACAUAGUUUUGAAAAGAGUGAGGAAAAUAGAAGGGUAGAACAAGAAUAUAUAUUGCUAGUAAUUGCAAAACGAAAUUCUGAAAUGGUAUAUAAGAGACCAUUGAAAGAAAUAGUGGGGGAGUUCCCGUUGUGGCGCAGUGGUUAGCGAAUCCGACUAGGAACCAUGAGGUUGCGGGUUCGGUCCCUGCCCUUGCUCAUGUGGGUUAACGAUCCGGCGUUGCCGUGAGCUGUGGUGUAGGUUGCAGACGCGGCUCGGAUCCCGAGUUGCUGUGGCUCUGGCGUAGGCCGGUGGCUACAGCUCCGAUUCAACCCCUAGCCUGGGAACCUCCAUAUGCCGCGGGAGCGGCCCAAGAAAUAGCAACAGCAACAACAACAAAAAGACAAAAG